rnacentral:rRNA from 1 species
AUUGAACGCUGGCGGCAUGCCUUACACAUGCAAGUCGAACGGCAGCACGGGGGCAACCCUGGUGGCGAGUGGCGAACGGGUGAGUAAUACAUCGGAACGUGCCCAAUCGUGGGGGAUAACGUAGCGAAAGCUACGCUAAUACCGCAUACGAUCUACGGAUGAAAGCGGGGGAUCGCAAGACCUCGCGCGAAUGGAGCGGCCGAUGGCAGAUUAGGUAGUUGGUGGGGUAAAGGCUCACCAAGCCAACGAUCUGUAGCUGGUCUGAGAGGACGACCAGCCACACUGGGACUGAGACACGGCCCAGACUCCUACGGGAGGCAGCAGUGGGGAAUUUUGGACAAUGGGCGAAAGCCUGAUCCAGCCAUUCCGCGUGCAGGAUGAAGGCCUU